AAUUCGAUUCCUCUAGUACCGAUUAAGAGUAUCAAUUCCCCACAUGUGCAAGAAGCUGAAAGGAAUGCAGUGAAUAAGCAUAACGAGAAAGAAAAUGAUAAAUUGAUUUUCAUCGUGUAAAGAAUGGUUUGAGGCCCAUUGCUGAAGUUGUAAUUGGGAAUAGAAUGGCUCAGUUAAUAUGGGAAAAAAAGAGUAGCUGCUAGUGAUAAUGCAACAUCCAGACCAAGAGACUAAAAAGGCGGUGAUAAAAAUUAGAGAAAAUCCUUGUUCGGUUCAACAAUGUUUCUCAAUCAUUUGGGGAUCAAUCCGUGGUUCGAUUGAGUUGAAAUUUUGACAACUUGUUCUUAACAUGAGGGUAUUCGAUCUGGAUGGUAGAGAUUUUUUUUGGAGCUACCUACAUUUAGAUACCGAGGGUAAUUGGUUGCUAUUUGAAGUGAGACAGUUCUAAUUUUAUUCUUCAUUAUUGUUGUCAUUUGUUGCCGAGAUUGUUAAUCUUUAGUUAUUUACUGUGUAUGCUUUUAGUUGUGACUAAGGGGAAUUUGUUUGUACCCAUUAUUUGAUUAUAAUGGAGAUUUUGAAUUCCGUCUGUA